rnacentral:rRNA from 1 species
AAUAGAUACCCCGGUAGUCCACGCCGUAAACUAUGAUUACUCGAUGUCGGCGAUAUACUGUCGGUGUCCAAGCGAAAGUGAUAAGUAAUCCACCUGGGGAGUACGAUCGCAAGGUUGAAACUCAAAGGAAUUGACGGGGGCCCACACAAGCGGUGGAGCAUGUGGUUUAAUUCGAUGAUACGCGAGGAACCUUACCUGGGCUUGAAUGCAUUAUGACCGUCCCGGAAACGGGACUUUCUUCGGACAGAAUGCAAGGUGCUGCAUGGUUGUCGUCAGCUCGUGCUGUGAGGUGUCGGGUUAAGUCCCAUAACGAGCGCAACCCCUAUUCUUAGUUGCCAGCGGGUAAUGCCGGGGACUCUAAGAAACUGCCCGCGUAAGCGGUGAGGAAGGUGGGGAUGACGUCAAAUCAUCACGGCCCUUACGUCCAGGGCUACACACGUGCUACAAUGGUCAGUACAAAGGGCAGCUACCUGGUGACAGGAUGCUAAUCUCGAAAACUGAUCUCAGUUCGGAUCGAAGUCUGCAACUCGUAC